GCAGAGGAUUGACCAAGGUGAUAGUGGGAGAGUGGCUCUCGAGAGAGAGAGGGAGAUCUGGGAAUGGGGUCAUUCAUGUGUUGCUGCUGAGUGCCUUCAACCCCCAUUAAAGACAAUGAAGAUAGAAGGUAACUUAGUAUCAUGCUUGACUGGAACCUGCCAAAGCAAUUCAUGAUCCCCCGUCCCCGACCCUGAGACCACCAUGACAGAGCUUGUAGUGCCCUCUGAAUCUCAGUGCAGACGGAUGGGUGAAGCAGAACAUAGAAUUUCUGAAGUGGAAAAGGCUUUCAAAGAGAACAACUUACAGGUUGUGAAGAACUGUAAUAAUAUCAAGACUAUGAAGACCAAGCUAAUAGAGCUGAAAGCCGCUCAAGACAAUGUAACAUCCUGAGGGAAAAG